CAGUAGCCGCGGGAAAACGAAGGGGGCUAGCGUUGCUCGGAAUCACUGGGCGUAAAGGGUGCGUAGGCGGGUCUUUAAGUCAGGGGAGGAACCCUGGAGCUCAACUCCAGAACUGCCUUUGAUACUGAAGAUCUUGAGUUCGGGAGAGGUGAGUGGAACUGCGAGUGUAGAGGUGAAAUUCGUAGAUAUUCGCAAGAACACCAGUGGCGAAGGCGGCUCACUGGCCCGAUACUGACGCUGAGGCACGAAAGCGUGGGGAGCAAACAGGAUUAGAUACCCCUGUAGUCCCUGUCUCUUAUAC
rnacentral:rRNA from 1 species